UAAUACAGGGGGUGCUAGCGUUGUUCGGAAUUACUGGGCGUAAAGGGCGCGUAGGCGGUUUUGUAAGUCAGGAGUGAAAUCCCGGAGCUUAACUUCGGAAUUGCUUUUGAAACUACAAGGCUAGAGUGAGUUAGAGGAUGGCGGAAUUCCUAGUGUAGUGGUGAAAUACGUAGAUAUUAGGAAGAACACCGGUGGCGAAGGCGGCCAUCUGGGACUCAACUGACGCUGAGGCGCGAAAGCGUGGGGAUCAAACAGGAUUAGAUACCCUGGUAGUCCACGCCGUAAACUAUAGAUACUCGCUGUAGCUGGUAAUCAUUCCGGCUGUGGCUUAGCUAACGCGAUAAGUAUCUCGCCUGGGAAGUACGGUCGCAAGAUUA
rnacentral:rRNA from 1 species